GAGUUUGAUCUUGGCUCAGGACGAACGCUGGCGGCGUGCUUAACACAUGCAAGUCGAGGGGUAGAAGUUGCUUGCAACUUUGAGACCGGCGCACGGGUGCGUAACGCGUAUGCAAUCUGCCUUGUACUGAAGGAUAGCCCAGAGAAAUUUGGAUUAAUACCUCAUAGCAUUAUGAAAUCGCAUGGUUUUAUAAUUAAAGUUCCAACGGUACAAGAUGAGCAUGCGUCCCAUUAGUUAGUUGGUAAGGUAACGGCUUACCAAGACGAUGAUGGGUAGGGGUCCUGAGAGGGAGAUCCCCCACACUGGUACUGAGACACGGACCAGACUCCUACGGGAGGCAGCAGUGAGGAAUAUUGGUCAAUGGGCGCAAGCCUGAACCAGCCAUGCCGCGUGCAGGAUGACGGUCCUCUGGAUUGUAAACUUCUUUUAUCUGGGAAGAAAUCCACUUUUUCUAGAGUGGUUGACGGUACCAGAUGAAUAAGCACCGGCUAACUCCGUGCCAGCCCGCCGCCGUAAC
rnacentral:rRNA from 1 species